AGGCGGGGACAGCGUCUACCGGGAGCCUGCUCGGGGGCCAGGCGUUGCCUUGAGGGACGUGUGCGGUGCAGUCAGGACGUGCAAGCACACGAGGGAAUUUGAGUGCUGGGAAGGGCUGCGAGGAAGAUGAAAUAGCCUGGCCCUGUUCCAACCUCCAGGACCAGUGGGAGAAAGGUGUGUCAGCAGCUUCUGGCCUGUCCUUCUCUAAGCUCCUAGACAAAAGAUGUGCCAGACAACGGCAGGCUUCUCCGUCACCGCCACCCUGCCUUUCCCUGGCAGUGUGCUAAAGGCUCCUCAGUCAUCGAGUCCCGGAAUGAUAAAGCUGGAACGGGAAAACACAUCCUCUAUCCCCCACUGAAUAAACCGGUGUCUGCAGCUGAUUAUCUUUUUGGAGAUACUUAGAAAUACAGCAAAUAAAGGCAGCAGAGCAAAAUUAA